GAUGAAGAACGUAGCGAAAUGCGAUAAGUAAUGUGAAUUGCAGAAUUCAGUGAAUCAUCGAAUCUUUGAACGCACCUUGCGCCCUUUGGCCAUUCCGAAGGGCAUGCCUGUUUGAGUAUCAUGAACACCUCAACUCUUCAUGGUUUUCCAUGAUGAGCUUGGACUUUGGGGGUCUUGCUGGCCUGUGGGUCGGCUCCUCUCAAAUGAAUCAGCUUGCCGGUUUUUGGUGGGCAUCACAGGUGUGAUAACUAUCUACGCUUGUGGUUUUCCACCAGGGUAACCUUCAGCAGUGGAGGUUCACUGGAGCUUACAAAUGUCUCUCCUCUGUGAGGACAGCCCUUUGAAUGUUCGAUCUCAAAUCAGGUAGGACUACCCGCUGAACUUAAGCAUAUCAAUAAGCGGAGGA
rnacentral:misc_RNA from 1 species